rnacentral:rRNA from 1 species
UGGGGAAUUUUGGACAAUGGGCGAAAGCCUGAUCCAGCAAUGCCGCGUGUGUGAAGAAGGCCUUCGGGUUGUAAAGCACUUUUGUCCGGAAAGAAAUCCUUGGCUCUAAUACAGUCGGGGGAUGACGGUACCGGAAGAAUAAGCACCGGCUAACUACGUGCCAGCAGCCGCGGUAAUACGUAGGGUGCAAGCGUUAAUCGGAAUUACUGGGCGUAAAGCGUGCGCAGGCGGUUUGCUAAGACCGAUGUGAAAUCCCCGGGCUCAACCUGGGAACUGCAUUGGUGACUGGCAGGCUAGAGUAUGGCAGAGGGGGGUAGAAUUCCACGUGUAGCAGUGAAAUGCGUAGAGAUGUGGAGGAAUACCGAUGGCGAAGGCAGCCCCCUGGGCCAAUACUGACGCUCAUGCACGAAAGCGUGGGGAGCAAACAGGAUUAGAUACCCUGGUAGUCCACGCCCUAAACGAUGUCAACUAGUUGUUGGGGAUUCAUUUCCUUAGUAACGUAGCUAACGCGUGAAGUUGACCGCCUGGGGAGUACGGUCGCAAGAUUAAAACUCAAAGGAAUUGACA